rnacentral:rRNA from 1 species
UACAGAGGUGGCAAGCGUUGUUCGGAAUUACUGGGCGUAAAGGGCGCGUAGGCGGUCUUGUAAGUCCCGCGUGAAAUCCCCCCGGCUCAACUGGGGAACUGCGUGGGAAACUGCGAGGCUUGAGUUCGGGAGAGGGAAGCGGAAUUCCGGGUGUAGCGGUGAAAUGCGUAGAUAUCCGGAGGAACACCGGUGGCGAAGGCGGUUCUCUGGGACGGUACUGACGCUGAGACGCGAAAGCGUGGGGAGCGAACAGG